CAGCCGCCACGGGAAUACGUAGGGUGCAAGCGUUAAUCGGAAUUACUGGGCGUAAAGCGUGCGCAGGCGGUUAUAUAAGACAGAUGUGAAAUCCCCGGGCUCAACCUGGGAACUGCAUUUGUGACUGUAUAGCUAGAGUACGGCAGAGGGGGAUGGAAUUCCGCGUGGAGCGGUGAAAUGCGUUGAGAUCGGAAAGAACACCAACGGCGAAAGCACUCUGCUGGGCCGACACUGACACUGAGAGACGAAAGCUAGGGGAGCAAAUGGGAUUAGAUACCCCAGUAGUCCCUGUCUCUUAUAC
rnacentral:rRNA from 1 species